rnacentral:lncRNA from 1 species
CACAAACUGCCCAGCAAACCUGAGCUGCCGAGGCUGUGUGGAUAGCAGCACAGAAUAGCAGCAACACACUGGUCCUUUUAGAGGUGCAUUCAGCUACAGGAUGCCCACAGAAGGAUGCAGAGAAGUUGAAGCAGCAUUUGCUACUUUCCUGAAGCACAGCUACCUAAGCAGAGCUCUGUUGUCACCUUUGCUCUGCUCUUGCCACACUGCAGCACCUAGCCCUGGGCAUGAUUGAAGCUGGGAACCAAAAGCUGGCCAGCACAGAGCCCAAAAUACCCAAGGACAUCCAUGACACAAUCUCAGAAGAGCCUGUACCAGCUUAUAAAUUGUCUGUGCAGUGGGAUCUGUCAGGGGGAAGCACAGCGUGCCUCCAUGGAGACGACAAAGUUUGGGACUGAAGCAGUGAGAGGCACGGGAUCAUCAUGGAGCAGUGCUGUGAGCUUUGGUAAUAAACUGACCCUGCAGAAGAGAGAAGGAGGAAGGAGAGGGUUCCUGUUGCCCUGGGCAUGGUGCAGGUAGCCCAGGGCAACUAUCACUAAGAGAC